CUUACGUGACUUUAUUAGAGAUUUUCCCAGGAAGCCAGAGCAUAUCACAGAGGAGCUAAUCAUUUCACCAGACUCUCAACAUCCAGCUCUGAACGAGGGCUGAAGAGGCAGCGUGGGAUGCGGAGGUGGAGACAGACUUUCUCCAAGCAGAAGCAGCUAAUGUCAUUCAUGCGAAGCCCUCGUGCUUGAUUACACAAACAUUCAGCCCUGCUGGGAAAAUGCGCCAAGACGAUGCAUGACCCAGGUUCAAAACACACGGCAGUUCCUGAGUACAAUAAUGUCAUGCUGACAUUUAGCUAUCAAUAACCUAUCCUUUGGGAGCAGAACCAUAACAUUUAGCUUUUCUGGGAGGACAAAAAACCUGUGUCUCCAUCUCUCAUGCCCCAAAUUCUCUACUGCGAACCUUGGGCAAAGAAAUGAAGAGCAAGAAAGAAGGCUUGAUUCCUCUGCAAGGGGAGAAGAGGGGUUUGGUUUGUGUUUUAAAAAUCUUCCACUGGCUGCUCUGAGGAGACUCUGUCAGAAGUGAGCAAGUGUCGUCUCCGGAGGUUUGUUUAAGGGGAUAUUAACUGACCACGUAAGGGUGACGGUGGUUUGAACUGCGGAAGACGACACAGGGCCAGGAAAGAGUGGGAGAGACCUUUCACACAUUUUCAGGGCAGAAUCAACAGGACAAGGUCUAAUGCCUCUGGGAUUUGGUUUCCUUGUUUGGUUUUAGAUUUUGUUUACUUUGUCCUCACUAUUCUAGAAGACGCUGCAACAUUUAAGAACCAUUUUCUAUUUCUCCUUCCUGCUCAAGUAAACAGGCCUUUACUUACGAAAACUGUGAACUGAAGCACGCUGAAGGAUUAGCCCAACAGGAAGGAUCCCCGAGGGCUGCAGGGUGGGAAAGAGAGUGGGGCUUCCCGACUUCAAGGUGGGAAAGGUAGAUGGUUUUAUGUUUACUUUUGAGUGUAUGGGGGGACCUUGCUCUGGUCCGAUGAGGCUCAGGGGUGAUUAUCACAUCGUUGGUGGAGCACCAUUGUCAGCCUCUACGUGGAGAGUCUCGGAAAUCUCACCAGCCCCAGCUUACCACAGAGAGUACAGAGACCGCUGCAUUCAAAUGGACCCCAGGGCCUGAACCAUGGAAGUUUCAGUGGUGAACUGAAUCUUCCCGUACGGUAUAUGCUAUGCUCUCUUUGGACCUCUCUGUUCUCACAUCAUCUUUGAGAGGAAGAAGGGGACCUUAAAUGUUAUUGAAUGCUAUUUCCCAUGAUGGGAGCGGUGGCCUAAUUACAUGUGCUUAUCUAAUGUUUGAAAAUAAAGAAAUA